rnacentral:rRNA from 1 species
GACGAACGCUGGCGGCGUGCUUAACACAUGCAAGUCGAACGAUGAAAGCGGGAGCUUGCUCCUGCUGGAUUAGUGGCGAACGGGUGAGUAACACGUGAGCAAUCUGCCCCGAACUCUGGGAUAAGCGUUGGAAACGACGUCUAAUACCGGAUACGACGCGCGAAGGCAUCUUCUGCGCGUGGAAAGAAUUUCGGUUCGGGAUGAGCUCGCGGCCUAUCAGCUAGUUGGUGAGGUAAUGGCUCACCAAGGCGACGACGGGUAGCCGGCCUGAGAGGGUGACCGGCCACACUGGGACUGAGACACGGCCCAGACUCCUACGGGAGGCAGCAGUGGGGAAUAUUGCACAAUGGGCGCAAGCCUGAUGCAGCAACGCCGCGUGAGGGACGACGGCCUCGGGUUGUAAACCGUCUUUAGUAGGGUAAGAAGCGAAAGUGACGGUA